UGGGGAAUUUUGCGCAAUGGGGGAAACCCUGACGCAGCGACGCCGCGUGGAGGAUGAAGGUCUUCGGAUUGUAAACUCCUUUUGCAGGGGAAGAUAAUGACGGUACCCUGCGAAUAAGCCACGGCUAACUCUGUGCCAGCAGCCGCGGUAAGACAGAGGUGGCAAGCGUUGUUCGGAAUUACUGGGCUUAAAGGGCGCGUAGGCGUCCCGGCAAGUCGGAUGUGGAAUCUUUUUGCUUAACGAAAAAAUUGCAUCUGAAACUGCCGGGAUUGAGUCAGCGAGGGGAUGGCGGAAUUCCCGGUGUAGCGGUGAAAUGCGUAGAUAUCGGGAGGAAGGCCGGUGGCGAAGGCGGCCAUCUGGCGCUGAACUGACGCUGAGGCGCGAAAGCGUGGGGAGCAAACAGG
rnacentral:rRNA from 1 species